rnacentral:rRNA from 1 species
GAUGAACGCUGGCGGCGUGCCUAACACAUGCAAGUCGAGCGAACAGACGAGGAGCUUGCUCCUCUGACGUUAGCGGCGGACGGGUGAGUAACACGUGGAUAACCUACUUAUAAGACUGGGAUAACUUCGGGAAACCGGAUCUAAUACCGCAUAAUAUAUUGAACCGCAUGGUUCAAUAGUGAAAGACGGUUUUGCUGUCUCUUAUAGAUGGAUCCGCGCCGCAUUAGCUAGUUGGUAAGGUAACGGCUUACCAAGGCGACGAUGCGUAGCCGACCGGAGAGGGUGAUCGGCCACACUGGAACUGAGACACGGUCCAGACUCCUACGGGAGGCAGCAGUAGGGAAUCUUCCGCAAAGGGCGAAAGCCUGACGGAGCAACGCCGCGUGAGUGAUGAAGGUCUUCGGAUCGUAAAACUCUGUUGUUAGGGAAGAACAAAUGUGUAAGUAACUAUGCACGUCUUGACGGUACCUAAUCAAAAAGCCACGGCUAACUACGUG